rnacentral:rRNA from 1 species
GAGUUUGAUCAUGGCUCAGAUUGAACGCUGGCGGCAGGCCUAACACAUGCAAGUCGAGCGGAUGACGGGAGCUUGCUCCUUGAUUCAGCGGCGGACGGGUGAGUAAUGCCUAGGAAUCUGCCUGGUAGUGGGGGACAACGUUUCGAAAGGAACGCUAAUACCGCAUACGUCCUACGGGAGAAAGCAGGGGACCUUCGGGCCUUGCGCUAUCAGAUGAGCCUAGGUCGGAUUAGCUAGUUGGUGGGGUAAUGGCUCACCAAGGCGACGAUCCGUAACUGGUCUGAGAGGAUGAUCAGUCACACUGGAACUGAGACACGGUCCAGACUCCUACGGGAGGCAGCAGUGGGGAAUAUUGGACAAUGGGCGAAAGCCUGAUCCAGCCAUGCCGCGUGUGUGAAGAAGGUCUUCGGAUUGUAAAGCACUUUAAGUUGGGAGGAAGGGCAGUAAGUUAAUACCUUGCUGUUUUUGACGUUUACCGGACAGAAUAAGCACCGGCUAACUCUGUGCCAGCA